rnacentral:rRNA from 1 species
UAGGGAAUCUUCGGCAAUGGACGAAAGUCUGACCGAGCAACGCCGCGUGAGUGAAGAAGGUUUUCGGAUCGUAAAACUCUGCUGGUAGAGAGAACGUUGGUGAGAGUGGAAAGCUCAUCAAGUGACGGUAACUACCCAGAAAGGGACGGCUAACUACGUGCCAG